GACGAACGCUGGCGGCGUGCCUAAGGCAUGCAAGUCGAGCGGUAGCUCCUGUAGGUUUAAGCCUAUAGGAGUGAGAGCGGCGCACGGGUGAGUAACACGUAGGUAACCUACCCCAGAGAGGGGGAUAACACCUCGAAAGGGGUGCUAAACCCCCAUAUACUUACCCAGCGGAUGCUGAGGUAAGGAAAGAGUAUAGAGGGGUAACCCUCUAUGCUGCUCUGGGAUGGGCCUGCGGCCUAUCAGCUAGUUGGUGGGGUAAUGGCCCACCAAGGCUAAGACGGGUAGCCGGCCUGAGAGGGUGGUCGGCCACACUGGGACUGAGACACGGCCCAGACUCCUACGGGAGGCAGCAGCCGGGAAUCUUCCGCAAUGGGGGAAACCCUGACGGAGCGACGCCGCGUGAGGGAAGAAGCCCCUCGGGGUGUAAACCUCUUUUCCUGGGGAAGAAGCUGACGGUACCCAGGGAAUAAGCCCCGGCUAACUACGUGCCAGCAGCCGCGGUAAGACGUAGGGGGCGAGCGUUGUCCGGAUUUACUGGGCGUAAAGGGCGUGUAGGCGGCUUAGCAAGUCAGGUGUGGAAGCCCUGGGCUCAACCCAGGGAGUGCAUCUGAUACUGCUAAGCUAGAGGGCAGGAGAGGAGAGUGGAACUUCCGGUGUAGCGGUGAAAUGCGUAGAUAUCGGAAGGAACGCCGGUGGCGAAGGCGGCUCUCUGGACUGUCCCUGACGCUGAGGCGCGAAAGCUAGGGGAGCGAACG
rnacentral:rRNA from 1 species